GUCCUCGCGUGAGAAUCCUCCUGAGUCAGUCAGCGAUAGUGUCGAGGACAAGCUUUCACAAGCCGAAGAACCGGACAGCAAGACUACUAUGCAUAGUUCAGAUGACACCGGUGACUUGCACACUCUACUGAUUUUUGGUGACAACAACUGUUGACUUCAAACACUUUGAAAAAAGUUAAUCUGAACCUACAAGCUGUAAUAGCCAGGGAAUGAGAUACUCACUUCGCGAUAACAGUCCCAGAACACCUAAAUCUUCCGGAGAAGAGGAAUUUAUGGUUCUCUUAUCAGAAGAAACUAAUUUCUUCAGGCCUUGCUCAGACUCGAAGACGCUGUGGGGAUUAGCAGAAGGAGUUGACAUACAGUGUAUGGUUUUUAGGGUUAUUCCUUUGUUCACAAAACAUGCUUUUUGUGACUUAGUGUCCGAGAGCAUCCAGACGUCCGUAAUUCUUUGCUUUUUAUUGUCUUGUAAUUGUCGUAACUCUAAAUUUUUAUUACUCUAAUUGUAUUACU